GACGAACGCUGGCGGCGUGCUUAACACAUGCAAGUCGAACGGAAAGGCCCUGCUUUUGUGGGGUGCUCGAGUGGCGAACGGGUGAGUAACACGUGAGUAACCUGCCCUUGACUUUGGGAUAACUUCAGGAAACUGGUGCUAAUACCGGAUAGGAGCUCCUGCUGCAUGGUGGGGGUUGGAAAGUUUCGGCGGUUGGGGAUGGACUCGCGGCUUAUCAGCUUGUUGGUGGGGUAGUGGCUUACCAAGGCUUUGACGGGUAGCCGGCCUGAGAGGGUGACCGGCCACAUUGGGACUGAGAUACGGCCCAGACUCCUACGGGAGGCAGCAGUGGGGGAUAUUGCACAAUGGGCGGAAGCCUGAUGCAGCAACGCCGCGUGCGGGAUGACGGCCUUCGGGUUGUAAACCGCUUUCGCCUGUGACGAAGCGUGAGUGACGGUAAUGGGUAAAGAAGCACCGGCUAACUACGUG
rnacentral:rRNA from 1 species